rnacentral:tRNA from 1 species
GGGGAUUUAGGUCAGCGGCACCAUGUGUGCCUGGAAAGCACAAGUUCCUGAGUUCGAUCCUCAGUACCCCCA